CAGUCGCCACGGUAAAACAGAGGGUGCGAGCGUUAAUCGGAUUUACUGGGCGUAAAGCGUGCGUAGGCGGCUUUUUAAGUCGGAUGUGAAAUCCCUGAGCUUAACUUAGGAAUUGCAUUCGAUACUGGGAAGCUAGAGUAUGGGAGAGGAUGGUAGAAUUCCAGGUGUAGCGGUGAAAUGCGUAGAGAUCUGGAGGAAUACCGAUGGCGAAGGCAGCCAUCUGGCCUAAUACUGACGCUGAGGUACGAAAGCAUGGGGAGCAAACAGGAUUAGAUACCCCUGUAGUCCCUGUCUCUUAUAC
rnacentral:rRNA from 1 species